rnacentral:ncRNA from 1 species
ACACUGGGGGCGUCCGUCAAUCGGACUGAGAGAGAACUCCUUGAACCUGAUCUGGCUCAAACCAGCGUAGGGAAGUGCAUCGAU